UACGUAGGGUGCAAGCGUUGUCCGGAAUUAUUGGGCGUAAAGAGCUCGUAGGCGGUUUGUCGCGUCUGCUGUGAAAACUCGGGGCUUAACCCCGGGCCUGCAGUGGGUACGGGCAGACUAGAGUGCGGUAGGGGAGACUGGAAUUCCUGGUGUAGCGGUGAAAUGCGCAGAUAUCCGGAGGAACACCAAAGGCGAAGGCAGUGUCCUGGGGAGUACCUGACGCUCAGGUGCGAAAGCCAGGGGAGCGAACGGG
rnacentral:rRNA from 1 species